UUGAGAGAAAUGGUGGGGUGCCGUACGGCGCUGGCUGGCGUCCUAUCGUACAUCAUUCUGUUAAAAGCUGGGCUUGAAAACCGCGUUACGUGGUAGCGGGUGAGUUCCUGAAAUUGGGGAUAGAGGGAGCGAUUGAGGGCGAGAGCGCGUCAGAAACUUGUAUAAUCCGUACGGCAAUGUCGUUGUCAAAGCGUGCUCGUUGUCGAUGUGCUGCGUACGGCACCUGUUGAGCUGCUUUUUGUCUUUCUUUCUGCGGGGCCGUUCCGUCUUUAAGUAGUGUUGCUUCCUGAGGUCGUUGAGCCCUAAUGUGGUUGUUAAUUCAGUUAAGUGGGUAGAUGGAUGCCUUAAAGGGAAGGAGGGGCCUUGCGGAAGGCUUGCGGGAUGGCGCGAAGAUUCCGGUCCGUCGCCAUCGUUUUCCACGUCUCAGUUCGGCAGUUUCGGUAGUGAGCUGAAACGGUGCGAUGAAGAGGGAACAUUGUUGUACGACAAACGGAAUUUUUCCAGAAUGGAAUGAAAUAGAGCUCGCGCUCGCUCGUGUAAUGAUUGAGAUCGCGGGAAGGUGGGAAAGACGAAUCACGAACGAGUGAAGCUGCUGCCGGGGGGAAGGGGGGGAAGGUGUUGUGUGUUUACGUGUGUGUGUGAGUGUGUGUGUGGGUUGAGUGUGUGGGUUGAGUGUGUGGGUUGUGGUGAGAAUGGACGAGCGGCAGGGGGAUUGGGGGUCUGUUGAAGAUUUUGAUUGCCAGUUCGCCGCAUUGCCGCCGCGCACUGCACGCGCCGGAAAUCGAACUAUCUCGGUUGUUGAACUGUCGGUUGUGGUAGUUUGACCGGUUAAGUCCUGAAAAUCGUUGAAAGGGGGUCGGGCGCUGCCCUUAUCUCAUCACGGAGUCCUUCGCGGCCCAUGAACAACCCCAACAUGUACUUUCUCUCCACAUACAUGUAUACAUCUAUAUCUCGGGAUGUACUUACCCUUAAUUUACACUUUAUUUUGUCGACGGAUGUUAUCAAGAAGCAAAGUCCUCCCACCAAUACAUCCUGAACCUGCCGCCGAGCAUCACGUAGCGCCAUGUACGGGAAAAAAACGUUAGACCAAUAGUUUGCUUUGGUUUCUGUAGCCCGCGUUUCCGCAUGAGUCGUAUGAAGGUUGGCAAGAGGCAACGUUGUUAUCGCCCGGGAAAGCUAUUUUUGAUCUUUUCUGGGGCUACUGACUGACUCUUGUAUCGCCAUCGCCAUUUCUCUACCUGGGAGGCUUCCGUCAUGAAGUCGCUGUACGGAUGUACGGAAGGGCAGCAUGUGCCCCAACUGUUCCCCAACGGCAUGAGCUGACGGAUCUGAGCGGAUUUUUAUUUUGCGCUGCUGCUAUAGCAGUUGGGGGGAUAUGGCGCCGAGAACUUUCUUCUGUACUACAACUGAUGUACUGCUGUACAGUAGUGGCUUGUACGAUAAGCGUAAGGGAUUCGUUUUUUCUUUCUCUGCAAAGUUUUCUUCAUUCUUCGUUUGUAUAAUAAAUAGAUAUAGGGUUUGGGCAAGAGAGCUAAUCGGCGCGUACUGGUUUACGACGCUCGUACAUGUAUGGCGGUCGUACUCUUGAUAGAGUGUACACAGUAUACCGCAUACAAAAGACGGUGGAGCGGGAAGAAACAAGCAG
rnacentral:lncRNA from 1 species